rnacentral:lncRNA from 1 species
UUCUAAUCUUCCUAUGCUGGCUCCUAAAGUGGCCAUGUGGCCACCUGGCGUAUUCCCAAAACCACCAGCUAAGCUCGGCAAGUGUGCAUCACCGAACACCACAAACUGAAGAUAGAAAAAGGUAUUUGUUUACCGUACAGAAACUGUAUAGCAAAGUGGUGGACUUAAACGGAAAAAGAUAGUGAAUUUAAAUGGGUGUUUUGACAGUAAUGAUUUGUUUUUGACAGCAAUGGUUAGAACAUAAUCAGCGUGUUUGCGUAGUAUAACAUGGCGAGUUUUUGAAGACUGUGCAUUGCAAGAGAAGGGGGACGUUGAGAUAUCACAAAAGACCAUGCCACGGUUUUCUAAAAGGACGAAGACUCUCUCACUCCAGGGACGGACGCGUCUCCCCCCAGGUGCUACAGCGCGGUGUCUCCAGGGUCAGGGUGAACCGUGACGCGCGGAGGGGUGCCCAGGGUCCUCCCUUGUGCUGCUCACAUGAUCACGGAGUGCAGACAGACGGAUGAGAGGGAUCGGGACUGCACGGUACGAGCCGAGAGUACUGCUCAGUGCACGGAGACGUCUGGACGGUGCGAGACCUCAGACAUGUAUUUCCUCCUGGUUUGGGGAUUUUACGCGACGUUCUUCAGUGAAGCCAGCGGGCAGGCUGUCAAAGUAGCAUGGACCCAGGAAAAGCUUUACCACAAGCCGAGAGUCCUGAGCCCUGCGGAGAUCACGCGCGUGCUGUCCCAGCUGGAC